rnacentral:RNase_P_RNA from 1 species
AAAGUUUGACAGACAAUCGCUGGUGGCUUCGCGCCACGAGAGGAAAGUCCGGGCUCCACAGGGCAGGAUGCUGGAUAACGUCCAGUCAGCGCGAGUUGAAGGAUAGGGCCACAGAAAUGGACCGCCGAUGGCUGCUAACGCAGCACAGGCAAGGAUGGAACCGUGGUGUAAGAGACCACGAGGAGCACUGGUGACUUUGCUCCUGGUAAACCCCAUUUGGAGCAAGACCGAGGAGAACGCCGAGCGCCGUCAAAGGCGACUCAGCCCUAGCCCGGGGUGCGUUCGGGUUGGUCGCUUGAGCCGUAUAGCAAUGUGCGGCCUAGAAAGAUGAUUGUCGCUUCAGCAAGUGGGAGGAUCGCUUCGAGCGAUCCGUUAUGACCACGUGAAGUACAGAACCCGGCUUACGGCAAGCUUUCCGG